rnacentral:piRNA from 1 species
UGACUGUAGAGAUACAGGGGCUCUUUAU